UAGAUACCCCGGUAGUCCACGCCGUAAACGAUGAGAACUAGAUGUUGGUUUCAUAAAAGAGAUUAGUAUCGUAGCUAACGCGUUAAGUUCUCCGCCUGGGGAGUACGGCCGCAAGGUUAAAACUCAAAAGAAUUGACGGGGGCCCGCACAAGCGGUGGAGCAUGUGGUUUAAUUCGAUGCAACGCGAAGAACCUUACCAUCCCUUGACAUCCAGAGAAUCUGUUAGAAAUAGUAGAGUGCCUUCGGGAACUCUGAGACAGGUGCUGCAUGGCUGUCGUCAGCUCGUGUCGUGAGAUGUUGGGUUAAGUCCCGCAACGAGCGCAACCCUUAUCUUUAGUUGCCAGCACGUAAUGGUGGGGACUCUAAAGAGACUGCCGGUGACAAGCCGGAGGAAGGUGGGGACGACGUCAAGUCAUCAUGGCCCUUACGGGAUGGGCUACACACGUGCUACAAUGGGCAGUACAAAUGGAUGCGAAGCCGCGAGGUGGAGCCAAUCUAAGAAAGCUGUUCGUAGUCCGGAUUGGAGUCUGCAACUCGACUCCAUGAAGUUGGAAUCGCUAGUAAUCGUAGAUCAGAAUGCUACGGUGAAUACGUUCCCGGGCCUUGUACACACCGCCCGUCACACCAUGGGAGUGGGUUGCAAAAGAAGUGGGUAGACUAACCUUCGGGGGGUCGCUCACCACUUUGUGAUUCAUGACUGGGGUGAAGUCGUAACAAGGUA
rnacentral:rRNA from 1 species